UACAGAGGUGGCAAGCGUUGUUCGGAAUUACUGGGCGUAAAGGGCGAGUAGGCGGCCUUCUAAGUCAGACGUGAAAUCCCCCGGCUUAACCUGGGAACUGCGUCUGAUACUGGGGAGGCUUGAGUAUGGGAGAGGGAUGUAGAAUUCCAGGUGUAGCGGUAGAAAUGCGUAGAUAUCAGGAGGAACACCCGUGGCGAAAGCGGCUCUCUGGGACGGUACUGACGCUGAGACGCGAAAGCGUGGGGAGCGAACAGG
rnacentral:rRNA from 1 species